AUACGGAGGGUGCAAGCGUUAUCCGGAUUUAUUGGGUUUAAAGGGUGCGCAGGCGGAUAAUUAAGUCAGUGGUGAAAUCCUCCCGCUCAACGGGAGAACUGCCAUUGAUACUGAUAAUCUGGAAUACGGUUGAAGUGGGCGGAAUGUAGCAUGUAGCGGUGAAAUGCAUAGAGAUGCUGCAGAACACCGAUCGCGAAGGCAGCUCACUAAGCCGAUAUUGACGCUCAGGCACGAAAGCGUGGGUAGCGAACAGGAUUAGAAACCCGAGUAGUCC
rnacentral:rRNA from 1 species